CGAGCGCAACCCCUGCAUUCAGUUGCCAUCGGGUGAAGCCGGGCGACUCUGGAAGGACUGCCAUCGACAAGAUGGAGGAAGGUGGGGACGACGUCAAGUCAUCAUGGCCCUUAUGUCCAGGGCGACACACGUGCUACAAUGGCCGGCACAACGGGAAGCGAGUUCGCGAGGACGAGCGGAUCCCUUAAAGCCGUCGCAGUUCGGAUUGAAGUCUGCAACUCGACUUCAUGAAGCUGGAAUCGCUAGUAAUCGCAGAUCAGCCAAGCUGCGGUGAAUACGUUCCCGGGCCUU
rnacentral:rRNA from 1 species